rnacentral:sRNA from 1 species
AAUUUAACGAUACACACUUAACAGGAAAAUUAAAAAUUUGUUGGCAUAAACUUUUCUAAUCUAUAAAGUGAAAGAGCUAAAUUCGCUGAAACAAUAGACAUUGAGCGGGGUUUUUUCUAUUUUCAAAUAACCAAGGUUACUGGCACAAUUUCCACUUGAAUAAGCAUAGAAUUUUAUUAACGAAAUGCAUCGAUUACGUUUUCCAAAAGGAUGAAUCAACAUUUAAUUAUUUAAAUUGGCUUAUGGUGAAUCGUUGGCGACGGGUUAAAAGGUGACUUGGUUAAUGUGGGGUGUCAGUAAAGGCUGCGAGACAGGUUUUGGUUUGACUCAAACGGGUGUUGUUCUGGAUGCUCAAAUUUAAUAACAAAAGCCAAAAACUAAAGACAAAAUUUCUAUAAAAUUAUGGCUUAGUGAAAAAUGUCUCAGAAAUGUUUGAUUUCAAUAAAUAAAUAAAUAACUAAUAAAAUUGUAUUCUUA